CCAAAAUUAAAACCCUUUUCUUCUUCUUCAGAAAUAAAACCACAACCACAAUGCACUCUUUUCCAAAAUCAAAGAAAGCCAUCGCCUCCACUAUAUCAAUACUACGAUCAUCCUUCGUUCGUAACGUUACCGCAAGCUCGGCUCCCAAGCGAAGGCUGCUCGAUUUUCCUUUAAUUUUUUGAAAUCGAAGCAAAUAUGAAUCUCUUUUUCGAAAUCCGGUCCUCCGCCCUCCCGCUUCUCCAUUCAUGUCCCAUGAUGAGCAAUGGCAACACCGCAGCCACUAAUCCAGUGGUAGAAUGUUGAAAUCUGAGCUUCUCAAUCACCGGACGGUAUGGAAAAGUUGUUCCCAUCCUCAACGAUUGCUCGUUCAGCAUCCGCUCUGGACAAUUCUGGAUGCUUCUUGUCCCCAAUCGCUGUGGAAAAUUCACCAGCCUCAAAAGUAUAUAUGUACGUACUAUAUACUUCUAGUUUAAAUGCUAUCUUUUAAUUCCAAAAUUUUAACAUUAUUUCCAAUUUAAAGCCUAAACACAAAACUUUUGGGUGUUGCAGGAUUGUUUUUGCGGUGUGCAUGGAUUGCUUGUACCAUUCUUCGGCUGAGAGAGUGCCUUCUUUCUUUUUAAAGCAUUAAUUUCCAAUUUAAAGCAUGGAUACGAAGCUCAUUUUCUCUAUUCAGGUAAGGAAUCGAAAGCAGAAGCCUUCGGGUUGUAUAACAUUACAUAGUUUGUUACUACUUACUUUUAUUUAAAUUUUCAAUUAUACAUUGCUCUGGGUGCUUCUUAUCAUAACCAAGUUGGCUUUCAGUUAUUAUAUUGAGGUGCUUUUGGUAUAAUGUCAUGUGGUGAAGGAAGAACAUAUUAAGUUUAUUGGAAUGUGCUUAUGUAGUGGAUAAUCUGAUCUGUUUUGUCAAUCUAAAAGUAUGAUGACAUAGAGCAGCUAAUGUUUAACUAAUAAGAUUUGAAUUGCAACAAAAGACAUAAUGAUUGUUCUUAUAUCAACAUACCAAUGGCAUGGGUUUUUCCCCUGAGGUUGUAAAUAUUACCGUUUGGAGCUGUACGAGUCAAACAUUACACACAAAUUAUUGGCAUUGAUAUUAGUUUUCAUUUCUUCGUGUGGUUUACUGCUAUAAGCAAUAUUGGUGUUGUACUGCACUUUGGGCGCCAAUUAUUUUUGUAUUGAUUAUACAAUAUUUACAAUAAAAUUUCUUAUGUUUUGUUGUAGAGGAAGCUUUCGUUGAUGUGCCUUUUUUGGUUAGGUCUCGACUCGCUUUAAAUCUACUGUGCCUUUUUAGGUCUUUAUCAUGGAUGCCCAGAUCUGGUAUGCUAUAUUCUCAACUUUAGUUGGAGGUAUGUAUUGUAAACCUUUGGUAUUUUUAAAUGGUCCAAUCAUCUUCCUCUUUUAUUGGAAGUUAUCCACCUUCUCACCUUCUCAUAACUGUUCAUCUUCCCUACUUUGUGGUAACCGUUCACGUUUCGUAACUUCUUUGAUGGGAAGAAGUAUAUAAAGGGGAUAAAGUGGUAUUGGUCCUCUAGCCGAGACUUUCAUGAAACUACACCAUCGCAGAGAGGUCUUGAAGGCUUGGAAGCACCAAACACAAUUCGAAAUU
rnacentral:lncRNA from 1 species